UACGUAGGGUGCGAGCGUUAAUCGGAAUUACUGGGCGUAAAGCGUGCGCAGGCGGUUCGUCGUGUCUGAUGUGAAAGCCCCGGGCUCAACCUGAGAAUGGUAUUGGAAACUGGCGGACUAGAGUGUGGCAGAGGGGGGUGGAAUUCCGCGUGUAGCAGUGAAAUGCGUAGAGAUGCGGAGGAACACCGAUGGCGAAGGCAGCCCCCUGGGCUAACACUGACGCUCAGGCACGAAAGCCGUGGGGAGCAAACAGG
rnacentral:rRNA from 1 species